ACAGCCACAUCAAGUUGAAACACCGGUUCUUGAACGAUCACCGAAGUUAAGCAACAUCGGACCAGGUCAGUACCUAGAUAGGUGACCGCUUGGGAAUACGAGGUGCUGUAAG